GUUUGAUCCUGGCUCAGGACGAACGCUGGCGGCGUGCUUAACACAUGCAAGUCGAGCGGUAAGGCCCUUCGGGGUACACGAGCGGCGAACGGGUGAGUAACACGUGGGUGAUCUGCCCUGUACUUCGGGAUAAGCCUGGGAAACUGGGUCUAAUACCGGAUAUGACCUUACAUCGCAUGGUGUUUGGUGGAAAGAUUUAUCGGUACAGGAUGGGCCCGCGGCCUAUCAGCUUGUUGGUGGGGUAAUGGCCUACCAAGGCGACGACGGGUAGCCGGCCUGAGAGGGCGACCGGCCACACUGGGACUGAGACACGGCCCAGACUCCUACGGGAGGCAGCAGUGGGGAAUAUUGCACAAUGGGCGAAAGCCUGAUGCAGCGACGCCGCGUGAGGGAUGACGGCCUUCGGGUUGUAAACCUCUUUCGACAGGGACGAAGCGCAAGUGACGGUACCUGUAGAAGAAGCACCGGCCAACUACGUGCCAGCAGCCGCGGUAAUACGUAGGGUGCGAGCGUUGUCCGGAAUUACUGGGCGUAAAGAGCUUGUAGGCGGUUUGUCGCGUCGUCCGUGAAAACUUGGGGCUCAACCCCAAGCUUGCGGGCGAUACGGGCAGACUUGAGUACUGCAGGGGAGACUGGAAUUCCUGGUGUAGCGGUGAAAUGCGCAGAUAUCAGGAGGAACACCGGUGGCGAAGGCGGGUCUCUGGGCAGUAACUGACGCUGAGAAGCGAAAGCGUGGGUAGCGAACAGGAUUAGAUACC
rnacentral:rRNA from 1 species